CCACAGUCUGAUUUUAUUUUCAAAUGAUCACUCCAGCUGAUAUGAGAAGGCCCUAGUGGGGAAGAGAUCAAGAAGAUCAGUCAAGAUCCCACUACAGUGAUCUAGGUAAAAGGGGACAAUGUGUUGGACCAGAUUGGUAGCAAAAGAGGUGCUGAGAAGCAGCCAGAAUCAGGUGGAUUUUUCAGCAGAGAUAACAGAAUUUGUGAGAAAGAGAGAAAUUAGAGCUGCUGGCAAGGUCAGGCUUGUUCAGAAGAUGCAGUCAGGCACUGGCUAACAUUCGUACCCUAACUGCCAAAAUGUCCUGGGUACUGCGACAAGAUACUAAAAAAAAAAAAAAUGCCUCCUAGGAUUUUGGAGCCAAACCAGCUUUUAAAGGAACAAAAGGCAGAGGCUACUGAAGGAAAGGAAAUCCUAGCACAGUUCCAGAGUCAGGAUGCUUGGGUUCAAAUCCUAGAUUCACUUCUGUGUGACUUAAGGGCAAGUUAUCUAAAUUUUCCAAAUCUCAGGUUUGUUCAUCUAGAAAGUAAAGAUGACAAUAUCUGCUUCAUUGGACAGUAUGAGAAUUAAACGCAGUAUUUAUGUAAAGCUCUCAGCAUGGAUUUGACCGAAAGUAAAUGGUCCAUGAAUGUGAUGCAUUGGUUAGCUCUUGCUAAGUAACAACUCCUUCCCCCAACGCUAGUGACUUAAAAUAUGAAGCAUAUAAUUUUGCUCAUGAUCAUGUCAGCUAUUUUUUAGAGGGCCAAGCAGGACCAAAAAGAUGAGCUCUGUUUCUACAGGGCCUGUAAACAAAGAAAACAGUGGAAACAUAUAUGCACAAAGCUCACAAAUCUUUGCACAGGCUAUUGGAACUUGUUAAGCGUGGACUUAGACUGGCUGGGGGACCUGAGUUCUAGUUGGGCUGUGUGAUCUGGGGCCAGUUCCAUCCCUCUCUAUGCCUCAGUUUCCUCAUAUAUAAGGGAAGGUGCUGGAUCAGAGAUUCUGGAGGCUUUCCUCCAAGACACUAAUUCUCUUGAAUAUACGUAACACACCUACCUACCUGUGUCUUAAACAAAGAGGGGGCUUAUACAAAUCCAGAGUUAAGCAGUCUGGACUGAUGUGGAAGCUCAAUGACAUCAUAUGAACAAAUUCUCUUCUGUCUCUCUUCGCGCUGCCAUCCUUAGAGUGCAGGCUUCUUGUCUCAUGGUACCAAACAUCGCCUCUUUGUUCUAAGCAGGCAAAGGGAAAAGGCAUAAGGAGAACAAAUAUUUAUAACUGUGGAGUCUGUCAUUUUAUAUGAGGGAAGCAAGGGCUUGUGAUUCAAGCUUAUAACUUAUUAGCCAGAACUGUUCCCCGUGAUUACUGAGCUGGAAGGUGGCUAGGACUUCUGCCUGGGAGUCGGGUCAGUCAAUUCAUGGUGUUAGCUGCAAACACUAACUAUGAAGACAUAUAGUCUGGAGAGGGUGUUUUGGGUCCUCAUAGCCACAGGAGCUCUGGCCAGUCAGCUGGCUUCAUGGUGGCUAUGGAAAGGUUGUUCCCCUGGUAACAGUUCCCAUAUAAACCCAUGGGACUACAAAUUCCAAAAGAUAAGGACAUUGUUUGCUUAAUCUCAUUGCAGCUUCAGGACCUAGUUCAGGGCCUGGUACAUUGCAGCUGCAUGACAAACAUUUGUAUAAUGAACAAAUUGUCCAUCAAUGGAUACGGAUUUCAGUGGACUGGGGCAUUCGGGGAGUAAGGGAUCUGGAUAAUUGGAUUUUCUGGCAGCCUGAGGGUGAGGCAGAAAAGCUUAUGAUCUCAAAUUAAUUCUAGCAACACCAAGUGGCUUCCAUAGCCAAGGCUCCAAGGUAAAAAUAAAAACCCAUGUGCUAUGCAUGUGUCAUGGUCAGGGUCUCAGCAGGAGAUGACACAAUCAAGGUGGCUCAGGAGCGUAUAAUGAGGGACUACUUACAAAGGUGUGAGCAGGAUUAGGGGAAACCAGCCAGGGGUGGCGAAGACCCUGGGGGCUGGCAGUGCUGGGGAGCUGCUACCAGCCCUGCUGACAGAGGACAGGGAGAAAGUGGACUCUAAAAGAAGAGAGUUCCCUUCGUGGCUCAGCAGUUAACAAACAUGACUAGGAUCUGUGAGGAUGUGGGUUCCAUCCCUGACCUCACUCAGUGGGUGAAGGAUCUGGCAUAGCCAUGAGCUGUGGUGUAGGUCCCAGAUACAGCUCGGAUCUUGUGUUGCUAUGGCUGUGGUGUAGGCCGACAGCUGUAGCUUCGAUUUGACCCCUAGCCUGGGGACUUCCGUAUGCCUCAGGCCUUCCAUAGAGGAACACUGCCACUGGCCACUACCACAGACUGGGGCCCUAGCACCCUGCCCUCUCUCCUUCCAUCUGCUGCUUCCCCUGGUUUAUCUCAUCUGCUGAACUGGGGACCAGAGCAGGGCCUUACUGAUGCCAUCUGCUGAGAUCAAACUCUGGGGCACAAAGCAGGGAGCAGAGGCUAGAGAGAGGUGCUGGGGUGGGGUAGAUGGCAAAUACCCAGCACCGUGUAUGGUAUGACAUCUGCAUGAUUACUCUUGGAGGUGGCUAUUACUGUGUCUACUUCUAACUAGUCCAACAGAGGCCCAGAGUAGUUCCAUCACUUGUCCAGGUUCACCUAGCCCACGGACUAGAGCUCAGAUCACGUGACUCCCAUUCCCAGUGUGUGUGACU
rnacentral:lncRNA from 1 species